AAGUGAGUCUCUUCUGCUUCAAGUGAAAAAAAACUAGAACAAAGAAUAGCAGUAACACACCUUAAAUUUCGAGCAUCAUUUCCAACCUCCAUUUGCAUUGAAGUUAUCAACUACAGUUCUUCCAAAUAUUACUCAACUAAGCCAACAUUUUCAGUUACGCAACAAACAAGACAACUGUGCGAGAGAUUUCGGUGUCCUUUAAUACAGCACUGGCCAUUCAAUUUUGACGUUUUUUGUUUGUGAUUUGUGAUUGGUGUAGUCGUGACAUUAAAUUGACAGCUCAACGAACGACCGAAAUGCUAUGAGAAGUCUUCCCAGAAGUCUCCAGAAUUUUGGUUUUUGACCGAACAUCUCAUAAAAUUACACGCACAACAAUAGAGCUGUUAAAAUCAGGGACUGAGUCGUUCGUUUACUCGACACGGAGGAAAACAAUAAGGGACUCAAGAUAUGUCAAAAACUUUUAGCACUUUGUGAAGUCUCUCCAACAGAACCAACAGAACAGCUAUGAACGGUCAACAAAGUUUCGGUUUUUAUGUAGGGACGUAAAAGUUAGGAUCACUUUGUACAGCAAACUACUGCUGCUCAGAAGCUUUCAUUUGAAUGUUCACACUCCAAAGUUUCUUUGACAAGCUCUUAAUUAGAGCCACCUUGUGCAGCAUAAGAGAAAGUACUACAUGAGAGUAUUGAUCAGUAGUUUUCAUUUGAAUAGUCACACAACAGGAUUUUAUCUUCAGAACUCAAAGGUAUAACCACUUUGCAAAAUAGAAUGAAGAGGAAACCACAUGAAAGUAUUUCUCUGUAGCUCUCAUUUUGGCUGACACUUACUAGAGUUUUUGAUUGUCACUUGCUAGAGUUUUGUCCCCAGACUAAAAAAGAUCUUGCCUUGCAGAUCAUGAUUAGCAGUACCAUAAGAAAAGUUUUGCUCCGUCUUUUGACACAAGCUCCCAAAGGCAGAGAGGAAAUAAUUUGUUAACACUCUUUAAAAAGACUUGAAGUACAGGAUGAGGUUAAAAUAAAAUUGGAAAGAAACCGAUGCACAUCACACAGAAACGAAAUUAGGGAAAAACCCAGAAACCACAUUAACAAUGAUAGCAUUAUAGUUGUACCUCGAGAUGACAAUGGAAUCUAUUGGGAUUCUCCCAUUGUAAAGGGUUUUUCUUUUGAUUGGCAAGGGAAGGAAAAAUAGCAUCUAGCUCAUGCAAAAUACCCCAACGCUUGCAGCUUUGCAGAUUUCGAACUCACAACCUUAAUAAAUAGUAACAGAGAAAUCGCCAAGCAGUCAAACACACUCCCAGGGAUACACAGACAAUUUCGGCGGUGGAGCUACACCAGGCGAAAACAUCAUGGAAAAUGCAUCGAAUGAAAAACCAGCACAGAUUCCAGGAGCCAGCGAAGGUCGGAAAUCAACGCCUUAUCAGCGGAUAGUGAUAGCCUGCCCUGAAAAUCACAUUAUCGUAGUGAAGAGAUUUUCUAACGGAGAAGUUAAAGUCGAAGGAGGACGACUGGUCGCUGUUGAAGACAAGAAAGGCCGCUAGAUGAGAGGUGUCACUUUUUAUGGAGUACUACAUGAAGAUAACUUCAUUGGAAAUGGAAAACAUGGCGAUUGUGAAAAGAAGAUAAAAGCAUUUGAUAUUUGCUCCCCUGAUCAGUAACACUGUUGACAAAUAGAAUACAUUCCACUGAGACAUAGAGUAAAAAAUCCCAUGGAAUAUCUAAACACUACACAGCUGUAACAUGAACAGAAAUAAGGAAAGAUGUGACUUCUUUAAGAUUUGACUUUUGAGUGAGACCAAGAAAGGAGAACUGUUUGUAGACUUGACACCUACUGACUGUGAACACCAACACAGUAGGGAGCAUUUCAUUGAUGUACAUGGACAUCUUUGAGAUAAACAUUUAGAUCAAUGUUGUUUAAGAUAACCAAU